UACGUAGGGUGCGAGCGUUAAUCGGAAUUACUGGGCGUAAAGCGUGCGCAGGCGGUUUUGUAAGCCAGAUGUGAAAUCCCCGGGCUUAACCUGGGAAUGGCAUUUGGGACUGCAAGGCUUGAGUGCGGCAGAGGAGACUGGAAUUCCCGGUGUAGCGGUGAAAUGCGUAGAUAUCUGGAGGAAUACCGGUGGCGAAGGCGGCAUCCUGGACCGACAUUGACGCUGAACGGCGAAAGCUAGGGGAGCAAACGGG
rnacentral:rRNA from 1 species